CUCCGAGACGCUCGCUUCAACAGCCUCCAUUGUGCAAUAUUUAGUAUCUGGAACAGAGGUCAUCACAGUACGUUAUGGACUGGUUUGCCACCGUCCACCACUGGCACGCAGGGAAUACCUAUGAGAAUACACACUGUAAACCCGACGGCUGGGAGAGAAAACGCUCAAUGAAGUGUAUUCAUUAAACACUGGCACCGAGCAGCCGAUCGGGCGUGAAUCGGUUCAUUCCACGUGAAGCGAGACUUAAUUCACAAAGGUGGACGCGGCAGCAGUUUUGAGCCGACGCCCUAAUGUCUAAAGCAGCACAGGUCUGAGAAACUGCAUCCAACCAAAGCAAGAUGCACGGACUACUACGUCUGAUGGAGAAAACAGCAGGCAUACAUCCAACCGGCUGGAUGCCUGGCUCCAUGAACCUGCCCUGUGGUUUGUGUCAUCUUAUCUCAAGGUCAAAGAGACGGAGGAAUU